UGGGGAAUAUUGCACAAUGGGCGCAAGCCUGAUGCAGCCAUGCCGCGUGUGUGUAGAAGGCCUUCGGGUUGUAAAGCACUUUCAGCGGGGAGGAAGGCGAUAAGGUUAAUAACCUUGUCGAUUGACGUUACCCGCAGAAGAAGCACCGGCUAACUCCGUGCCAGCAGCCGCGGUAAUACGGAGGGUGCAAGCGUUAAUCGGAAUUACUGGGCGUAAAGCGCACGCAGGCGGUCUGUCAAGUCGGAUGUGAAAUCCCCGGGCUCAACCUGGGAACUGCAUUCGAAACUGGCAGGCUAGAGUCUUGUAGAGGGGGGUAGAAUUCCAGGUGUAGCGGUGAAAUGCGUAGAGAUCUGGAGGAAUACCGGUGGCGAAGGCGGCCCCCUGGACAAAGACUGACGCUCAGGUGCGAAAGCGUGGGGAGCAAACAGG
rnacentral:rRNA from 1 species